rnacentral:rRNA from 1 species
ACGGGUGAGUAACGCGUGGGAACGUGCCCUUUGGUACGGAAUAGCCCUGGGAAACUGGGAGUAAUACCGUAUGAGCUCUUCGGAGGAAAGAUUUAUCGCCAAGGGAUCGGCCCGCGUUGGAUUAGGUAGUUGGUGGGGUAAUGGCCUACCAAGCCGACGAUCCAUAGCUGGUUUGAGAGGAUGAUCAGCCACACUGGGACUGAGACACGGCCCAGACUCCUACGGGAGGCAGCAGUGGGGAAUCUUAGACAAUGGGCGCAAGCCUGAUCUAGCCAUGCCGCGUGAGCGAUGAAGGCCUUAGGGUUGUAAAGCUCUUUCGUGGGGGAAGAUAAUGACUGUACCCCAAGAAGAAGCCCCGGCUAACUCCGUGCCAGCAGCCGCGGUAAUACGGAGGGGGCUAGCGUUGUUCGGAAUUACUGGGCGUAAAGCGCACGUAGGCGGACUGGAAAGUCAGAGGUGAAAUCCCAGGGCUCAACCUUGGAACUGCCUUUGAAACUCCCAGUCUUGAGGUCGAGAGAGGUGAGUGGAAUUCCGAGUGUAGAGGUGAAAUUCGUAGA